rnacentral:tRNA from 1 species
AGAGCGCCUGCCUGUCACGCAGGAGGUCGCGAGUUCGAGCCUCGUCACUCCCGCCA